AAAAAAUCUAAAGUAAAUGUUUGAUUAUUUAAAAUCCUGUAAUGGACUGAUAAAAAGAAUCAAUUUUCGAGGGAAGCGGUAAUCUAGCGAGAACCACGGUUCCAUAGAACCCUUUACGAAUUUUCAUAAUGCACCUAAACAUCUAUGCAAAUUAAUCAAUUCAUAUCCAUUAACGACUUUUGCACAAAAAGGGGUUUUAGUCGAGUAAUUGCUAUAUAUUACCCCACGGUUCCUUUUAAACAUAUUUUAAAGUAACUUGUUUGGAUAUUUUUUCUAACACCAUUGACCAUUAGAUUUAAAAUCAACACAAUGCAUACAUUAAACAUAAAAGAUAAAAAAAAAAGUAAUCUAUAAGGUAUGUUCAACUUGCUAUUGAUUAGUGUUUAAUGACACCUCCCCCUCGAACCCACUACUAGAAGAUGUUAUAACCUGGGUCCGAUUGGGUCUCCCAAACCCCUCGCCGAGGUUGGGGCGUACACUUAAAAAUAGCCUAGCUAAGCCACUGAAA
rnacentral:lncRNA from 1 species